rnacentral:rRNA from 1 species
GUUGAACGCAGGCGGCAGGCCUAAAACAUGCAAGUCGAGCGAGCGGCGGACGGGUGAGUAAUGUUUGGGAAACUGGCUGAUGGAGGGGGAUAACUACUGGAAACGGUAGCUAAUAACGCCUACCAUCCGAUGAGCCCAGAUGGGAUUGGCUAGUAGGUGGGGUAACGGCUGACCUAGGCGACGAUCCCUAGCUGGUCUGAGAGGAUGACCAGCCACACUGUGACUGAGACACGGUCCCGCUUCCUACGCGAGGCAUCAGUGGGGAAUAUGGCACAAUGGGCGCACGCCUGAUUCAGCCAUGCCGCGUGUGUGAAGACGGCCUUCGGGUUGUACAGCACUUUCCGCGGGGAGGCGUUACCCGCAGAAGAAGCACCGGCUAACUCCGUGCCAGCAGCCGCGGUAAUUC